GUUUAGCCGCCCGCGUAUGAGCCACCACCUUCUAAGAAAUAACCACUCCAAUUCUUCGCCAUUCUCAUCUGCGUCUGCUUCUCCUCUCUACUAUAAAUAUCUUCAUCUCUCAUCUCUAAACCAGUAACUCAAAACCUUCCAAGUAUUUCUCAUUCUAAACCCCAACCCAACAUCUCAUAUUCUUUUGAAUUUCACAGCCUUUCUUCAAAGAUGAGUUCAACAAAUUCCACAGCAGCAUACCCUGCCCAAGCUCCCAACUCUGCCCAGCAAUAUCAGGUGCAAGCUCCACCUCCUGCAGGCUACCCAACAAGAGAUGUGCCCCAGAACUCUGUUCCUGUAGAAACCAAGUCAAAGGGUGAUGGCUUCUGGAAAGGCUGCUGUGCUGCCUUGUGUUGCUGUUGUGUGUUGGAUGCUUGCUUUUGAUUGAAACAAGUCCACCCAAUAAUCUCAGUAUCUCUGAUCAUCGUCUUUUAUAUUUAUAGAAUUCAUAGUUGAUUUUUAGUUUUUUAUGUGAUAUUGAAGAAGAGACCAUGUAGAUUGGAUACAGUUCCGGAUUGUCCAACUCUCAUCAUCUUUGUAUAAUAAUUGUUAUUCAUUUCAGAUAUCCGGCUUUUUUUUUUCUUUUUUUUUUUGUGUGUUCUUCUUCUUUGUAGUGGUGGUGGAUUAGUUUCUUUGUAUAUGGUCAGAUUUAAUCCCUUAAUAAUACAGAAUCGUGCUCUUUUUCUGUUUUA